AUUUUGGGCGUCUACCUCGGGGCAGACUGGUCAGAAGUUCCCCGCGAUGGCAAUCCAAAACUACCGAACAAAUGUGGGUGAUUUUUUUUGUAUAUAUUGUUUGCCCAGAUCCAAGCUAUCCAGGAAUUUUGUGGGGUUUCCAUGUAUGUUGGGGGUACUUUUGGGGUGUUGUAAAAUUGUACCUUUUUCUGUGCCUGGAGAUAAUUGAGUUCCUGACUCAAUUAUCUCUGAGGCACAGAGGAGGAGUUUACUGACUGUAAUAAUUU